rfam:Neotoma lepida isolate 417 scaffold_1397, whole genome shotgun sequence.
CGUGGAGCGGAGGGGGCGGAGCCCACUGUGGGGCGGGGCGUCGUGGUCACGUGACGUGGUUUGACUGUUUACACGAGGCGCGGGCAGAGCCGUCGGCCUCAGUCAGUCAGGCGCUAGGCAGCGUUUCGGUU